AGAUUGGGGAAGUCCAGAGCCUCUGACUUCAGCAGAUAAAUUCUUCCACUGAUUGGGCAUUAAGAGGAGCGACAGAUAAACUGAAAGGGGAAAGGAAGAUAUUGCAUGUAAGGCGCAGAAAUGCAUGCUGUUAGGAAAAAACAAACAAACAAAAACAAGCUGCCACAAACCAUGAUGCUGAACAGAAAUGAACUCUGCAGACACCCUGGGGGAAGCUUGAGAUGGACUCAUCAGUCCCCUAGUUGAUCCUGCAAAUGAGAACGCAUCCUAACCCACACCUUGAUCUCAGCUGGGAGACCCUAAGCCGGCAGAGCAGAGCCCAGACACCUACAGAGACCAGGAGAUAAGAAAUAGGUUGGACAGGGAGGGGCUGAGCUCAGCAGAAGACGCCAUACGGUGUGAUCCUAGGGACUAAAGGGCCUGCCCACCAGUUUCUACCCUUUAUAUGUGCAGCAGACGAAGAUAUGAGAUGCCGAAAGACUGCAGGUCACCUGUCAGUGGUUACGAGGCCAACUGCUUCAAUUUCAGCUUUAAAUGAAACAGUGGGAUAGGACACCUGGGACUUGCAUCAGUCACAUUUUUAUUUCAGAACUGGCCGGAGUCAUUGGGUUUAGUUUGGGUGCCAGUCCAGUAACCAGUCCAAACUCACCUGGGAAAAAGUGCACAGAUUACUUUGUCCACACAGCAUGAAAACUAGUGGAUUGAGUUUGAGUCCAACUCGCCGAGAAAGAAGUUCAGUGCCAAUGAAAGGGGUGCCAUUUUCUGAAAAUGCAUGUCUCUGUCUGCCCUAGCCGAGGCUGAGCCAGGAGGCUCUCAUAAACUUGGUGGCUAGGACUAACCUAUGUGUCUGUUGCUCAGGGUGAAACCAGACUCUUUGCUUUCGGCCCAUUUCUCUAUGGUUUCAGCUUUUAGAGACUGGAGAAGAAAUAAAAGUCAGGGGGCUGGGGAUUUAGCUCAGUGGUAGAGCGCUUGCCUAGGAAGCGCAAGGCCCUGGGUUCGGUCCCCAGCUCUGAAAAAAAGAACCAAACAAAAAAAAAGAAAGAAAGAAAGAAAAGUUAAAAACAUUGACCAGCCAAGGCCCUAG